CAAUGAUAUAUAUCUGCUCUGUGC
rnacentral:siRNA from 1 species